AACGCACCUUGCACUCCUUGGUAUUCCGAGGAGUAUGCCUGUUUGAGUGUCAUUAAAUUCUCAGAUCUUAACUUGUUGUAAUGACGAGUCAAGACUCUGGAUGUGGAGGUUGCAGGCUUUGAUUAGUUUGCUCCUCUUAAAAACAUUAGUGGUUACUGUUCCCCACUUUGGUGUGAUAAUUAUCUACGCCGUAUAAGUAGGGAUGUUAAGUGUAGCUGCUUUCGAACAGUCCAGGAUUACUAGACAAUUUGAACUGUUUGACCUCAAAUCAGGUAGGAUUACCCGCUGAACUUAA
rnacentral:misc_RNA from 1 species